UUCCCGAAUUUGCUCCUGCUCUUUUAGCCAUUGUUUGCGAUAUUCGGCUCGCUUCGCGUUUUCACGUAUUUCUCGCUCUGCAUCUGGCAAAAAGGAGGUAUCCGCAGAUGGAUCCUUUCCCAUAAACAUUUUUUUCUCAACUUUUUUUAAAGGUAGAUCAUCAUUCUCCAGUUCUUCAUCUUCACCAAAAGAAAGUUUUCCUUUGUUAACUUUAAUGCCCUGUUUGACCUUUUUGCUUAAAGCAUCUUUUCUCUUUUUUCUAAAAUUGAAUUGUCAGUCAUAUUUAGAAUACUAUCGGGCUUUUCUCGUUCUUUUCACUUACAUUUUAGUACUUGUGGUUGAUAGCGCAUGUUUCUCUCGUUUUUCAACGAUGUUUUGUUUUACUCUUUGAUAAUCCUUUAAAUGGACUAAACCAGUCGUACUAUUUCGUAAAAUCUCAUGAAUUUCAUCGGCAUCAGUAUGGCCGCUCAUUGUAUGAAGAAUUCAAAAAAACGUGAGUGGUGAGCGUUCUUCCAAAUAAGCUUGAAUACCCAAAAUACCCUUUUUUUGCCUCGGUUUUCAAAUCUCAAAAUGAAAGAAAUGACUAUUACUAUAUUUAUCGUAGAAGAAGAACAUGUUUUUUACAUUUACCUAUGAGGGAUCCUAGAAUAAACGCACACUUUGCCAAAGUCACGUUGCAUAUAAGUUUUUUAUAUUUGUCAAAACGGUUAUUAAAUAGAAUAACAACGAGGUGGGGCACUUUGAAGCAUUCUGUAAUCUUUAACUGCUUGUAUAGACACUUUUUAAAACCAAUCUAGAGACAAAUAAAACGAAUUACUCGUUUGUAUUAACAAGCUUUGGAAAAAUAGCAAUAGAUUAAAAACAAAAAAAAAACUAGCUAAUCACUAGUGUUGCUAUAAAUACUCUAAUAAAUUUUCGUAUCUGGUCAUUGAAUGCAAAACCAUCUUUCGAAUGCCAAUAUAUAAAGUCAUUAAAGUGAUCCUAAAAAAUCAUCAUUAUCCAAUGUUCAUCAAAUUCAUUUUAAUUUGUCCACUUCGCAUCGCUAAUAAAUAUGAAGCUCGCUGGUAUACUGUCAGAUAAAAUAAAAAGAAAAUUUUCAAGAGCUGUCCCCUUUGAAUAUACGUGGCAUAUGCUUUCCACGAAAUUGCUCAAUUGAAUUGGCAAUACCAAAGUUUCGGCCAGUUUCCACUACUAAAAAGCAAGCAAGAUCCUCACUACUCCAGUAACUGCUAUGAGCCGAAAGCAUAGAAAGAUAUUUGUUUGAAAUGACCCCAUGGGCACUCGUAAAUACGUAGUCCAACUGAGAGUUUUCAUUCAACUCUUGCAUGCGCCACUUGGCCCUUUCUUCUCUGCGAAAAUUGCGAGUCUCUAACUCGACAGUCUGUUCAGGCUCCAGUGGGACCACUGCUGUGGGCUCAUUGUUUUUAUUUUGCUGCAAAGAUUGAUUGUAACUUCGAAGUUCCACAGGAUCAGUAUUAGAAUGUGAGAUCAUUCUCAAAAUACUUGAAGAUUUUCUUGUGAACAGUAUACGAGUUGGGUGGAUGCCUUUCGAAAAUGAGAGAUCCACUGUGGGAUUUAAUCGCAUCGCAACGGCUAAUUUGUUAGUAAAUACGAUAAUUUAAUGAUGCGCUUACGAUCAAGGUGAUUAUAGAUGUUAUAAAAAGAGUCGACUGCGAGACAUCCGUACCGAUCAUAACCAUCGUAAGUAUAUGACUUUGGAACAUCAGAAUUUAUAAAGUUUUUAUUUAUUUCGUAUCUUGAUGAGCCUCUUCCACGACGAGGAAUAAUACUUUGUUGAUUCAAAUGCAAAAAAAAACCUACCGGACCACCAAAACAAAAAAAACCGUUUGUGUCGAAUAUAAAGCAGCUUUCAUCAUCGUCUAUAGUAAUUUCUUUGACAAAAGUGGGUUGAAGUGACAAAAUAUCAAAAACAACUGUGGAGCCCAAAGAAUGCCCAAUUAUAAAGAUACGGCCCUUGUUUUCUAAAAAGUAAGGAUUGCAGUCCUUCCACAAAUGGUAAACCCUAUUAGCUUCACGAAUUACAGACUUUAUAAUGGAUUCUUUGUGAUGAGACAUAUAAUAGGGAAUAUCACUCAUCACAUCUCCUAAUAACCUUCGCACCGCUGGAAUGCUAUCAAUUUCAAUAUCCUCAAUUGAAAAUCGAUUUUCUUCAAAUUCUUCAUCCUCAACCCGUCCUUCAUCACCGGCAACUGGCUUUAUAUAUGAAUUAAAAUUAAGCUUAUUUCUCCAACAUAUCGGAAGAAGUUGUGGUUCAUAAUCGUUUCGAAUCAACGGAUCCUCUUUCAUUAUGUUUUUCUGAAUUUGGAUCAAUGAACGAAAAACGUUGCACGUCUUGGUAAAUAAGAAUCGUUCCUCUAUAUUGUCAACAUUAGUAAUUGAAUGCCGGUGUAAGAUAAAAAAAAAUCAAGUUUACUUACCAGUCUCUGAUCUUUUUUGACCGAUACCAUGAACCACCAAAAAAAGAUCUGUAACUUGUUUAGGUCCAUUAAAACCAUCAUCUUCAAAGUAAGGAAAAUCUCGAACGACCGGCAUACCUUUAAUACUGGUCCUUCGAGAUUGAGUCCCUUUUGAAAAAUAGGAUAACAAACCUCCUUGACAAAUGAGUGCUCUAUAUCCGUCUUCGUAAAAUACAUAUUUGCCAGAGGAGGUAGGUUUAAGAGGCCAUUGCAUCGCAUCAAUUAAUUCCUUAGAGGACUUGUUACGUUUAUGAGACAAUACAGAAGGAUCAUCUUGAGAAUCCUUCCCUUCUUCUUCUUCUUUUAAAACAUUAUCCCAGUUAACGGCGUAUGGCUUCACUUCCUGGUAGCCCUCUUCUAACAUAUCCGACAAUUCAUUGAUUACAGGAAGACCCGUAUCUUCGUACAUCCAAAGACCGCGAACGACUCGUAAGGUAUCAUUUUUACUGGCACUUGGCCAGUAUAGAGGCUUUAAAGUAAGAGUAGGUAAGUUUACCACAUGAAGCCCAGAAAUUCCAACAAUGACCUGCUCGUUAGUUAAGCUCACAUAUAGAUUAAAAAAUUAGUUACAUUCUUCUGAUUUGGCUCUUGAGACACCUCCUCUGUAAUAAUUUCAUUGUAUUUUGCUUCUAAAGCGUUAUUAUCGUAGUUCAAAAACCGCCUCCAGGACUGCGCCCCAGUCAACUCCAUAGAAGAAGUCUCAUCGUAGAGGUCGUAAUUGGAUAGGUAAAACCACUGAACAUAGUGCACAGGCUCCUCCUGGGAUGAUUCUUGCAUAUAUCUCGGUGUUGGGGGUCGCGUUCUGUUUGAUCAAAAUGUAAACAGUUCUACAAAGAAU